AGAACGAACGCUGGCGGCAUGCCUAACACAUGCAAGUCGAACGCUCACCGGGCUUCGGUUCGGUGGGAGUGGCGCACGGGUGAGUAGCGCGUGGGAACCUGCCCUGUUGUGGGGGAUAACCGAGGGAAACUUCGGCUAAUACCGCAUGCGCCCGGGGAAACCCGGGGAAAGAUUUAUCGCAGCAGGAGGGGCCCGCGUCGGAUUAGGUAGUUGGUGGGGUAACGGCCCACCAAGGCACCGAUCCGUAGCUGGUCUGAGAGGAUGAUCAGCCACACUGGGACUGAGACACGGCCCAGACUCCUACGGGAGGCAGCAGUGGGGAAUAUUGGACAAUGGGCGCAAGCCUGAUCCAGCAAUGCCGCGUGAGUGAUGAAGGCCUUAGGGUUGUAAAGCUCUUUCGCCCGCGACGAUGAUGACGGUAGCGGGAGAAGAAGCCCCGGCUAACGUUCGUGCCAGCAGCCGC
rnacentral:rRNA from 1 species